rnacentral:rRNA from 1 species
CUUAGCGGCGGACGGGUGAGUAACGCGUGGGCAACCUGCCUUACACAGGGGGAUAACAAUUAGAAAUGAUUGCUAAUACCGCAUAAGACCCCAGUACCGCAUGGUACAGAGGUAAAAACUGAGGUGGUGUAAGAUGGGCCCGCGUCUGAUUAGGUAGUUGGUGGGGGUAGAAGCCUACCAAGCCGACGAUCAGUAGCCGACCUGAGAGGGCGACCGGCCACAUUGGGACUGAGACACGGCCCAAACUCCUACGGAAGGCAGCAG